AGACUCUCGGCAACGGAUAUCUCGGCUCUUGCAUCGAUGAAGAACGUAUCGAAAUGCGAUACUUGGUGUGAAUUGCAGAAUCCCGUGAACCAUCGAGUCUUUGAACGCAAGUUGCGCCCGAAGCCAUUAGGCUGAGGGCACGCCUGCCUGGGUGUUGCACA
rnacentral:rRNA from 1 species